rnacentral:lncRNA from 1 species
GAAGAUAGAAAACCUUAUGAUUGAUUGUCUCGACCUCAAGAUGUAUAUAAAGAAAAAUAAUAAAAUAGUGUUUCGAAGAUAGAAAAAUAAUAUAUCUUGUAACAAAUUAUCUUGGCCAUCUAUUUUUAAGAUUUUUAAGUAUUUAUAGAUCUGCUCGAUCUAUAUCUUUUUUAAUGUUACUUUUCAUAAUUAGAGUUGAACAUGAAUUUUGAAGCUAUCGUGAGAUUUCUGAAACCAAAACUAUAUAUUUCGGCAAAAUUUAAAGGUCCACUUAGGAAAUAGGCUGGGUCGUGGUGGUAGCACCCCCAUACCUAGUUACCAGGUUGUGAUUUCCAAUCCUAUUGACGCCACCCACUGACACUUUCAAAAAAUCUAACUCCC